rnacentral:lncRNA from 1 species
UCCAGCAGCAUGAGAGGCAAAAGCUCCGCUGGAGGAGAGUCGUGGCGGAUGAGCUAAUUGUCAUGGCGGAUGAGCUAAUUAACUCAUGUAUAAAACAAAAUACAUUAUUCAUACAACUGAAAAAUUAGUUAAUUUCUAGAGUUCAAGAAAUACCAGCAGAACACAAAUAACAGCCCAAACAUUUUAUAACUUUGCUAGUUAUCUUCUAUUAUUCUUACCCCAAGAUCAGUAAUUAGUAAUAAUUCACUUCAUUGAAG